GAUGAUGAUAAUGAUGAUGAUGAUGAUGAUGUAUUUAGUAAUGUGUGUUAGAGCGUGUUUAUGGUCCAGCCGUAGGAAUUUAUUUAAUUUCAAGUAUUUAAAUGCAAAUCCAGUAUUUCGUAUGUGCUCAAAUAUGUGUGUGGGUGCGUUGGUUUGAAGACAUGGCGCGAGCGAGCUAGCCAAUCACAGCGCUCGUGAACGGGGAGACUGGAUGGCAGCAUCGUUUCCAGACUGGAAAUGGGUAGUCCUGAGCAGGGCGGCAGUUCUGAGGGUCGACACAGCACACAGGAAGGACUUGGACAGUAGAGGAGUUUGCGGGUGGUCGCGGAGGAAUAGAAAUAUUUCGGAGUGCCGACCUGUGCUCUUGUGUGAUUUCCGUGGCUUCUGCAGUGAAGUCGUAGUCUGCGUUCAGAAGUGAAUAUCUCGUGAUCUAUGUUGUUGUUCAUAACCAACUACGUGAAGUACGAAUCUAUUGUUUCCCUGUUAUUCAAAUUAUAUUUUAUUUAAUUGCUGGACCAUCGACACCAAUAAGUUUUUUGCAGAAAUGUACGGCAGUCUCAAAAGUACUUCUGCUAUCGUACUCAUCAUUUAAAGUCGUUAAAAUAGUACCUGCAAAUUUUAUUUAAUCGCAAUCUUUCGUUUAUAAAUGUGUAUGUCACGUUCAAAAUUUGCAAUUGCCGAGUGAUAGCAACCUUCGACCAUUCGAUUCAUGUGCAUAUUCAUAUUGUAUACUGUAGACUCAGCAGUAUUUGGCUUGUAAAGCGGCAACUACGUAUCCCAGCCACUAGACAUUGAAACUAGCCGACUGAUGGUUUCAGUAGUUAAGUCGCAUAGUGCUCAGAGCCAAAACUGUCAAUAUUACAACACUGAGUCGGAGGUUACGUAGUUGAGGGCCACCUACACCACAUCAUCUCAUUCUUUUAUGAAAGCCCGCACAGUAAGCGUAGAUACAUCAGUUUCUGUCGUAUAACAGUGUUUAUUUAGAAGGUACUUUGUUAUUAUAAUGAAGGUGGUGUGAUCUAGGUGAUACAGGAAUUUGAAAAAAACAAUGGACACGUAAUUAAAAAUGAGAUGCUUUAUUGUCAAUUCAGAAACUUCCUCGACAACCGACGAAUUCCCAGAAGUAUUUAUGGGAAAGCUUAAAUAUCGAACGCAACAAACGAAAUAGCAAUUUUUCUUCCAGGGUUAGUAAACAGUCUUGUCAAAGUAAUGAAGUGAUGAUAUUUAGUUUUCCCAAGUCAGAUGCCAGUUCAUAACUGAUACACAACUGAGAACUUUCACUCGA